rnacentral:rRNA from 1 species
UCCGGUUGAUCCUGCCAGAGGUCACUGCUAUCGGGGUUCGAUUAAGCCAUGCGAGUCGAGAGGGUUCGGCCCUCGGCGUACUGCUCAGUAACACGUGGAUAACCUGCCCUAGGGGAGGGGAUAACCCCGGGAAACUGGGGAUAAUACCCUAUAGGUUACAGAUGCUGGAAUGCCCUGUAACCAAAAGCUCCGGCGCCCUAGGAUGGAUCUGCGGCCGAUUAGGUUGUUGUUGGGGUAACGGCCCAACAAGCCCGUAAUCGGUACGGGUUGUGGGAGCAAGAGCCCGGAGUUGGAUUCUGAGACACGAAUCCAGGCCCUACGGGGCGCAGCAGGCGCGAAACCUUUACAAUGCGGGCAACCGUGAUAAGGGAACCUCGAGUGCCUGUAAACGCAGGCUGUUCAGGUGUUUAAAACGCACCUGGAGAAAGGGCCGGGCAAGACCGGUGCCAGCCGCCGCGGUAAUACCGGCGGCUCGAGUGGUGGCCGCUUUUAUUGGGCUUAAAGCGUUCGUAGCUGGGUUGUUAAGUCUCUUGGGAAAUCUGGCGGCUUAACCGUCAGGCGUCUAAGGGAUACUGGCAAUCUUGGAACCGGGAGAGGUGAGGGGUACUUCGGGGGUAGGGGGUGAAAUCCUGUAAUCCUCGAGGGACCACCUGUGGCGAAGGCGCCUCACCAGAACGGCUUCGACAGUGAGGGACGAAAGCUGGGGGAGCAAACCGGAUUAGAUACCCGGGUAGUCCCAGCCGUAAACGAUGCGCGUUAGGUGUAUCGGUGACCACGAGUUACCGAGGUGCCGAAGGGAAACCGUGAAAACGCGCCGCCUGGGAA